rnacentral:rRNA from 1 species
AGAGUUUGAUCCUGGCUCAGAACGAACGCUGGCGGCGUGCUUAACACAUGCAAGUCGCACGAGAAACGGGGCUUCGGCCCCCGAGUAAAGUGGCGAAUGGGUGAGUAACACGUGAGUAACAUGCCCUGGAGCGGGGGAUAACCAUUCGAAAGGGUGGCUAAUACCGCAUAAGACCCCACCGAGUUCGCUCGGAGUGGUCAAAGCCUUUUGGCACUUCAGGAUUGGCUCGCGGAUCAUUAGCUAGUUGGUGGGGUAAUGGCCCACCAAGGCAGUGAUGGAUAGCUGGUCUGAGAGGACGAUCAGCCACACUGGGACUGAGACACGGCCCAGACUCCUGCGGGAGGCAGCAGUGGGGAAUCUUGCGCAAUGGGCGAAAGCCUGACGCAGCAACGCCGCGUGUGUGAAGAAGGCCCUCGGGUCGUAAAGCACUGUCAGAGGGGAAGAACGCCUACAUUGUUAGGUUUGACGGUACCCUCAAAGGAAGCACCGGCUAACUCCGUGCCAGCAGCCGCGGUAAUAC